rnacentral:rRNA from 1 species
CGGGUGCGAUCAUACCAGCACUAAA